UUAGCGGCGGACGGGUGAGUAACACGUGGGUAACCUGCCUGUAAGACUGGGAUAACUCCGGGAAACCGGAGCUAAUACCGGAUAGUUCCUUGAACCGCAUGGUUCAAGGAUGAAAGACGGUUUCGGCUGUCACUUACAGAUGGACCCGCGGCGCAUUAGCUAGUUGGUGGGGUAAUGGCUCACCAAGGCGACGAUGCGUAGCCGACCUGAGAGGGUGAUCGGCCACACUGGGACUGAGACACGGCCCAGACUCCUACGGGAGGCAGCAGUAGGGAAUCUUCCGCAAUGGACGAAAGUCUGACGGAGCAACGCCGCGUGAGUGAUGAAGGUUUUCGGAUCGUAAAGCUCUGUUGUUAGGGAAGAACAAGUGCGAGAGUAACUGCUCGCACCUUGACGGUACCUAACCAGAAAGCCACGGCUAACUACGUGCCAGCAGCCGCGGUAAUACGUAGGUGGCAAGCGUUGUCCGGAAUUAUUGGGCGUAAAGGGCUCGCAGGCGGUUUCUUAAGUCUGAUGUGAAAGCCCCCGGCUCAACCGGGGAGGGUC
rnacentral:rRNA from 1 species